rnacentral:rRNA from 1 species
UACGGGGGGGGCAAGCGUUGUUCGGAAUUACUGGGCGUAAAGGGCUCGUAGGUGGCCAACUAAGUCAGACGUGAAAUCCCUCGGCUUAACCGGGGAACUGCGUCUGAUACUGGAUGGCUUGAGUUCGGGAGAGGUGAGUGGAACUCCGAGUGUAGAGGUGAAAUUCGUAGAUAUUCGGAAGAACACCAGUGGCGAAGGCGACUCACUGGCCCGAUACUGACGCUGAGGCGCGAAAGCGUGGGGAGCAAACAGG